UUUGCGUAGAUGCAAUUUUCGCUUUAACAAACAGCAGUGACACAAAUUUUUGAUAAAAUUAAAGAAUAAUAAGAAUUUUAAAAAUGAGCACUAAAGUUUUGGAAGUUGACGAUGAUGUGGGUGAUAGUACUACGUCCACUGGCACCCAUCGUAUCCAUUUUACAAAAGAUGUAAAGAAUGCAAUCGAUAAGGUGCUGAAAACUGAUGACCCAAUGGACUCGCCUGACUUCAACACAGUCGAUUAUAUUAAUCAGCUUUUUCCCAAUGAACAGUCUUUGGUAACCAUUGAUGAGACCAUACAGCGCAUGCAAUGUGAAGUGUCAUUAAUUGAUGAUAAUAUACGUGCUGUUGUCCGUGGCCAAACCAAUACCGGUCAGGAUGGGCAAAUGGCUCUUACAGAAGCGCAAAAAGUUAUAACAACAUUGUAUGCACAUAUUAUUGAUGUGAAAACGCGAGCUGAAAAAACGGAGGAAAUGGUAAAAGAGAUUACGCGCGAUAUCAAACAGUUGGAUUGUGCAAAACGAAAUCUCACUUCUGCGAUUACGACACUAAAUCACUUGCAUAUGCUGGUCGGCGGUAUUGAAAGUUUAAAUAAAUUGAUUGAAAAGCGUUUGUAUGGCGAAAUACUAAAUCCACUGCAAGCAAUUACUGAAGUUAACCAACAUUUUAAACAAUAUUCUGAUAUUGACGAAAUAAAGAAUUUAUCGCAAAAUGUUGACAAAAUACAAGUGACAUUGGCUAAACAAAUCACAGAAGAUUUUAAAGAUGCAUUCUCACAUAAAUCAGCUGCAACUGGAAAUGCUAGCAACAAGCAGCGUUUGGGUUUAAAUCAGCUGGCGGAUGCUUGUAAAGUGAUUUCCGUUUUGGAUCCAAAAGUCAAAAAGGAAUUGUUAAAGUGGUUUAUAGCACAACAACUUGAAGAGUACGUGCAACUAUUUCACGAAAACCAAGAUAUUGCUUGGCUGGAUAAGAUUGACAAACGCUAUGCUUGGCUUAAACGCCAUCUACUUGACUUUGAGGAUAAAUUCGGUGUUGUGUUUCCACUCGACUGGGAAGUAUCUGAGCGUAUUACUGUCGAAUUCUGUCGUCUAACACGUGAACAGCUCACACAAAUCAUGUCGAAACGCAGCAAUGAAAUCGAUGUGCGUCUACUGCUCUUUGCCAUAAAUAAAACACAAGCUUUUGAGCAGCUGCUAUCCAAACGCUUCACCGGUGUAACAUUAGGCGCUGAGCGGCGACUAUCAACAACUGCACUCAAAGUACUACCCGAAAGUGGCGUGGUUGAUCCAAAUGCGCCGCCCACAAUUGGCUUGUUUCAAGAUCAAAUUGCCAGUUGCUUCAAAGCACAUCUAGGCAUUUAUAUUAAGAGCAUCGAUCGUAAUCUAUCGGAGCUAAUGGAGAAAUUUGUGGAAAUGGCUAAGGAACCCUUCAAAGUGGCCGAAUCGAAAACCACUGUCUAUCCAAGUUCUGCAGACUUAUUUGUGUUCUAUAAGAAGUGUAUGGUGCAGUGCAACCAGCUGAGCAAUGAACAGCCGAUGUAUGAAUUGGCGCUAGUAUUUAAGAAAUAUCUUCGUGAAUAUGCCAGUAAAGUAUUAGAGUUUAGUACACCGAAAUUGCUGACAACAACAGCGUCAAUUGGCAAAAGCAUGUCCUUGCUCACACGCGAUAUGCAGAAUCUCUCCACAGCCGCGGGUCAAGUUUUCCAUAAUUUCUUAAAAGAAGGCGAUACUCAACGUUUUUCACGCGAAGAUUUAAUACAAAUCUGCUGUGUGCUAACCACAGCUGAAUAUUGCCUGGAGACCGUGCAACAAUUAGAGGACAAACUUAAGGAGAAAAUAUCUACAGCUUAUGCCAACAAAAUAGAUAUGUCGGAAGAAAAGGAUGUCUUUCAUCGCAUUAUUUCGAACUGCAUACAGUUGCUGGUGCAGGAUUUGGAAGCGGGCUGUGAAGCGCCACUACAGUCCAUGUCCAAAGUACAAUGGCAGAGCAUAAGCAAUGUGGGUGAUCAGAGUGCCUUCAUUAGCAGCAUUUGUGCGAAUUUCAAGCAGACAAUACCGGUGAUUCGCGAUAAUCUGGCCACAUCACGCAAAUACUUCACACAAUUCUGUCACAAGUUUGUCAACGCUUUCAUACCGAAAUUCAUUAACGUCCUCUACAAAUGCAAACUGACACAUUCCGAUGGCAGCAACAAUGUUUUGGGUUGCGAACAACUCCUGCUCGAUACGCACAGUCUGAAAACCGCUUUGCUUGAUUUGCCUUCAAUUGGUUCGAGCGUCAAUCGCAAGGCGCCCACGAGUUACACCAAAGUGGUUGUGAAGGAUAUGACACGUGCCGAAAUGAUUAUUAAAGUGGUCAUGACACCCGUACAGCCGCCCGCACACUUUACGCAGCAGGUGCUUAAACUUUUGCCCGACAUCACCAUUGCGGAAUAUCAGAAAAUUUUAGAUAUGAAAGCGGUGAAACGCGUAGAUCAAUUGCAAUUGAUUGAUCUCUUCAAACACACUGCCUCUCAUGUCGCCGUAGUCGAUGGUUUGCCCGAACUGUCGGCAGCUGCUGAGGAUGACAGCGCGCAGGCGCAGUCAGAGCUGAAUGUCAGCGAUAAUACUGAUGCAAGUUCAACGUCUGCGAAAGUUACUGAAGAAACCGCUUCUUCGGCACAGUCAGCAACGGUCACAGCAAGUGCGUCAGCUGGCGGUGCCACUUCCACACCGAAACGUGCAUUUAUUUUCAGUGUCGGCAGUUUUACGGGCAGCGCAGAUAAGCACGCCGAUGGCUCGUCGAAUAGCGGCAGCGAUCGUGGUCGCAUACGCAAACUGGAGAGUUUGUUGAAGAAGCGUUUGCCAUAAGUUGUUGUUGUUGUAAAUGAUUGCUGACUUUAUUCGUCUGCUGUUUAGUUAUAGAAUUUUUGUUUCUCUUUACUUUUUUGAAGCUAGCUUUAUUACAAUUGUUUGUUGGGAUAUAUUGAUGUGUCAUCUGGACGGGCAAUGUUUGGGAAUGAAAUGUAGUCAACAAAACUCCAACAAAAACAACAGAAAUCAACACAUGCAAAGCAACAACAAAGCAAGUCUAUAAAUUUACGUAGAUCAGAAAAAACAUAAGCAGCACACUCAGCAACCGGCUGUUGAGAAAAAAUAGAAAAAUUGCCAAAAAUUUUAAGUAAAAGAGUCGAAUAAAUACUGUCUAAAAA